GCCUAGCCCCGAUUGAAGCUUUGUUUGAGCUCUUUUUUGUUUUUCUUUUAAAAAACAAAAAAAGCGAGUGCGGAAAGCGGGAAAUUGC
rfam:Tenacibaculum dicentrarchi strain AY7486TD, complete genome.